UUUUUCGUAGCUCAGCUGGUUAGAGCACAUCACUCAUAAUGAUGGGGUCACAGGUUCGAAUCCCGUCGUAGCCACCA
rnacentral:tRNA from 1 species